CCUACGGGGGGCUGCAGUGGGGAAUAUUGGACAAUGGGCGCAAGCCUGAUCCAGCCAUGCCGCGUGAGUGAUGAAGGCCUUAGGGUUGUAAAGCUCUUUUGCCGGGGAAGAUACUGACGGUACCCGGAGAAUAAGCACCGGCUAACUUCGUGCCAGCAGCCGCGGUAAUACGAAGGGUGCUAGCGUUGUUCGGAAUCACUGGGCGUAAAGCGCGCGCAGGCGGUUUUUCAAGUCAGGGGUGAAAUCCCAGAGCUUAACUCUGGAAUUGCCUUUGA
rnacentral:rRNA from 1 species